rnacentral:rRNA from 1 species
UACGUAGGGGGCAAGCGUUGUCCGGAAUCAUUGGGCGUAAAGCGCGUGUAGGCGGCCUGGUAAGUCUGGUGUGAAAUCUUGGGGCUCAACCCCAAGCGGUCACUGGAUACUUCCAGGCUUGAGUCCGGAAGAGGAGAGUGGAAUUCCUGGUGUAGCGGUGGAAUGCGCAGAUAUCGGGAGGAACACCAGUGGCGAAGGCGGUGCUCUGGGCCGGAACUGACGCUGAGGAGCGAAAGCGUGGGGAGCGAACAGG